UCUCAAUCUUAUAUGCUAGAAAGAAUAAAAAGAGAUUUAGCCCAACAAAAUGAUUGCCCUCAUAUUCAACAAUUGUUGUAUUAAUCAAUUCAUUUUUCUAUUUGUUGAGGUACCUUAUCACCCAGGGAAAUAUGAGCAUUGUUAUCCUUCCCAUGUCAACAAAACAGCGCUACAACUGUUGUAUUAUUCCAGAUGAAACGUCUCUCUGAAACUAUCAAGAAGGAAACUAUGCUAAAAGGUGUCUUGAUCCAGAUCAUUUGUUAACUUCUAGGGUGAUGGAGAACUUUUAUGUGGCCUUCCGGUUUGGCAAUGGCGUAAUAAGGGGGAAAAUCCAAAGGAUUUUGAGGGAGCUAAUUGCGAAGUAUGACCUAAUGGUGAACUACAACACUUACGCAGGCUGAACUUCUGGAAAAAUAUCCCGAACUUCUGGAAAUUCAGUCCCUUGUUAUGUAUUGGUGGCAUAUAUCCCCUAAAAAAAUUCAUAAUUCUUGGUGAGAAAAAGAUAUUUUUGCCCUUCACCCAUAUCCCAGUUGGACUCUGACAAUCCAACAAGUGGGUGUCGGGAUCGUAUGGCCACCUCUAAUUCAUUACAAGACUGUACAUAUGGUGGAUUAUAGGUGCACAAGUGGGAUAAAAAUGAGAACAAUACCCCUUUGGUGAUCUGAACUUUCUCCGCAUAAAAUGGUAUUGUUCUACUAUCUUGCAAGCGGUAGAACCAUUCAUUGUUCUGGAAAAGUCUGAGCAGCAGGGAGCAAACAUGUAGGAGAACAUAAAUUUGACUGUUAGGAUAGUGAGAGGUUGUGUCGUAACUUAAUAAACCAAGAUAUAUUAUGGUAACAUAGUUAUUGAGGCGGCAAAUAGAGUAAAACUAAUAUCAAUAUCAGUCGCGAUGUGACCGUUCUGUGCUACAUCCUUUAUAUUAUCAAUUUCAAUAGGUAAGGAUGUAUUAAAUUAUUUAGGUUUGCUGAAUGCGAAGCAGUCAAGGAUAUUAUGAAACUGAAUUAACAUUUGAGUUUUUCGAAUUUAUAGUCUUGAGCAGUUCAAACUCGCCAACACGGGAUACGGACAUGGCACAGUAGGACACCCAUGAGGCCACGAAGUGGAAUCAAUAAACGGUGAAGAAGUCAUCAGCAGCGAAACCAAGGAUGAGAAGAAUCCUUGGUAUGAAGACGGCACGAGGACCAGUAAUGUACCCUGCUCUAAUAAUCAACGUCGGGAUAUAACAUCAUAUUUGAAGGUACUUCAUUCGUUAGGCAAGAUAGAUGUCGAAUGCAGACAUUGUGGAACACUACACUUGAUCUGACGGAGUGAACCAUUCUUACGCCGAGGAAUGAGGAAGUGGUUGUACAAAUGAGGUAAAUGUUCAGAUGUAUCAGGGAUCGUAUCACUCUUACAUGGCAGCAAAGUAAGUGGCAGAGGAUUCAGAGAAGGAUUUACCGGGAAUAUGGGGAGCCCUUCUGAAAGUUUAAAGCAAUGAAUCCACUGGGGUUACCGUUAUUUAACUGUCAAUGAUAGAGAGCGGAGAAGGAAAUAGGACGAAUAAUGGCGUUUUCCUGAAGUACUUCUGUAGUCUGCAUGGAGACUGUCUGUAGGAGAUAUAUACCAAUUCAUUGUUCGAGCCCAUUAGGAGCUUAGGUAAUUCUACAAAUUCAUUUUUAUUAUGUGACUUGAUAGACACGGAAUGAGAAUAGUAUUGGGUACCAGUGCUUGGUUGGCCGAUUAAUGGCUUUUAUAGUGAUGUAUAUCCCUUCUGAAAAAAUUCCAAGUAAUUUUAAGCAUACAUGCACAAAUAUUAUAAAAAAA